rnacentral:lncRNA from 1 species
CCGAUCACCUCUUUAGCAAGGGGGUAACCGAUCAGGACCCACACGUCAAGGGCUCAGACUUAUCCCGACCCUGGGCACUAAGGUCGGACGAGGCGGAGAUCCUCCUUUGGAGGGGUCGGGCACGUCCGACCCCGAGCCUCAGGGGUCGGGCGAGGCGGAGAUCCUCCCUUGGAGGGUCGGGCGCGUCCGAUCCCAAGCCUCAGGGGUCGGGCGAGGUGGAACUCCAAGGAUCAAUCGGCCGAUCCUCGACUGUAGCAUCUAUUGGCCGAUCCUUGACUGUAGCAGCAAUCGGCCAAUUCCCAAUCAUCGCCCUUGUAUCUCACCGCAUCUUCCGAUCUUUUCUUCUCCUAACGCCGAUUUUACACGUGUCAAAAUCUGGCGUCAACACAUGCCCCCCAGUUUUGGAGUAAAACAUAGUCUUUACUUUGAAAUUCUUUUCAACUUCCCAUCCGAAACAGACGCCAUGAAAACAUCCUUCGGUUUUGCGGUCUCCAACCUGAUGAUUGCAAUUUUUUCGAAACGGGCGCCCACGACAACCACUACUCCCAAAAAACUCGAAACGCCGGCGCGGUAAAAAUUCCACUUUUACCCCUUCUCAGACCUUCUUUAAAUAUCAGCACAUCCUGUACACUUUACGAGCUCACGUCCUUCUUCUCCAGCGCACAGGCUUUCUUCUUCCUCCAACACUUUCCUCAAUCCUCCAAUUCUCCAGUGUCCCCUUCCCUUCGCAUUCUCUCCUACAUUCCAAUGGCGGCACCUUCAGGCACCUCACAAACGCGCGAAGCUCCAGAAAUGGCGCCUUCGGUGGAGAUUCCAGUAGCGACAGUGGCGACUCCAUUGACGGAAGAAGGAGCUCCAUUGGCGAAAGCUGAAGCCUCAUCCGAGAUCCCAUUGGCGGCUUCAUCAUCUGCAGCUGCACCGGCGACUCCGCCGAUUACGAGGAGCUUCAUCCCGAAGGUAAUUACCGAAACCUUCCUUUAUCAGUAGUGCAUUUACCUUAGAUCUAUUUCUUAACCUCGCACCCCCUUUUCCUUUUUAGGCAGUUAGGCAUCGCACCACCAUUCGCUUUACAGAAAGCCUCAGCCUUAUCUGCCUCGGACCCAUGGGGAACCCAUAUCCAACCGACCUGAUCAACUUGGAAACCCAUAGGAUUCCCUUCAAGCAAUCAACCAUGGACUUAGAUCACUGGUUGGGUACUUUUAGGUCUUGGCCGAAUGAAACUCUUGGUUGGAGGGAAUGGUACCAGUGGAUAGCCGCCUCCAAGAAGCUCCAAUGGGACGAGCUCAAAAUUGGCCAAUGCAUCGACCUAUCCUUGUCCCAAAUGGAACGGAAUGAGCUGUUAGUGAUGGCAGCUUCUUACUUUUGGUCUGAUGCUCUCAACGCAUUCUUGUUUGGACACGGACCCAUGACCCCCACAUUGGCCGAUGUAGUCUUGCUGACCGGCCUGGACAUCACUUCCCCGGACACUCCUUUCCGCCUUAUAGCCGCAACAUCACAUCGGCUGGACACAAGGGGAAUCGGUGGGUGGAAAGGCUUCAUUAGAUGCAACAAAAGGGCCGGAUCUGUCGAGAACAGAGAGUAUACGGCCUUCCUGAUGAUGUGGCUAGAGAAGCACUUCUUCUGUGGGAGAGCAGCUGGUCCAUCUACCAAUACCCAAGCUCUGGCCGAAGCACUAUCAAUAGGGACUUCGGUUCCUCUCGGAAAGCACUUACUAGGAGCAAUCUACCACAUGCUUCAUCAAAUCGGUAUCAAGCUAUCCCAAAGGGAACCGAUUGGAAACCCAGGUGGGCCCUGGUGGUUCAUUAACUUGUGGCUGAACUUGUAUAUGAGCGAGAUCUCUCAGCAGCGAGUGGAAAAUAUGACUUUCGCCAGCGUCGAAUCGGAAGAGAACCUUACUGUCCAACGCCGGUGUAUGUCCUUUGGCGAAGCGGCAUCGGCCUUCUCUGGUUGCUCAUAUUCUGCGACCAAGGUGGCCGAAUACUUCCGGUGCUUCUACAACGGCUUUAAUGAAGAUGUAACCAUCUGGUUCCCUUAUCGGAGAGAUGACUCAAUCUUCGAACUCCCUCCUUGUUUUGACUCAACCACCGGUCGAUUCGACGAAGAUCUAACAGAUGAGUUAAUUAAACCAGGGAUCUUACCGGCCAACUUCUUCUCAGGAAAAGAUGCCCCUACAUAUGAAUUCUACAAUCCUUCUGUUGUAGCACGGCAAUUCGGCAUGGGUCAACUGCCGAUUCAGGCAUACUUCAUCGGUCGAGCAAAGUUCAGAGAUGAGCUCACCAAGGGCCUCGAUACAGUCGGCUGCGAGAUCGGAUACCAGACUCUAGCACCAUAGAUCUGAAUGACUGGAUAGUAGCUCCCUUUGCCAUCCAACAAUUCAAGUUAUGGUGGGCCGAAUAGAAACAGUACCUGUUCUGCGCCUCCACAUCAACGUACUGCAACCUCUUGGAUCAAGCCAACAUCGAUCCGAACGCCGAGGUAUUUUCCCCUAACCGAUCUUCAUUCCUUUGUUAAUGCAUUUAAAUAUGUACACUAACAUCUUGCUGUUAUUCCAGUCUGAAAACCGUGUUCCCCCAACACACAGUCGAAGUGGUCGGCCGAUAGAGGAUCAUCACCCCUACACCAUUUUCCCUCUUAUUGGCUAUGAUGCCCCUUCCGUGGAUGUGAUCACCGGCCGAUCGAAGCAGGCGCGGAAGAAGGUUACCAAUAAGACCAGUCGCCGAGUACGAACUCGUAUAGAAUCGGCCGACCCUCCUCUGAUCACAUCGGCAGAAACUUUGGCCGCAUUGCCCCUUCCAGCUGCUGGAGAAGUAGAUACUCAAGUCAUCACGCAAGCUGGAGCGGCCGCUGCAUCGUUACUGGUGGAAGCUAUGCAGGUAAACUUGUUGUCUCAUCCUGCCGAUUGCCAUCCUCAUACUGACCCAUCUUAUUUUAGACUGCGCAAAUCCCUCCUGUGGACUUGCAACAAUCGGCAGCAACCCAAUCGGUCAUCUUUCAGGAAGCCGGCCCGAGCACAGCACCAAUCACGGUGGAGUCUUCUACUCAUGAUGAAUCAAUGGAACCAGCCCCUGAAUCGAGGAUAACAGCCUCCCGACCGCAACUUGAAGAAAUUCGUUUUAAGGAGGUAAGAGACUUCUUCUCCUUACUUGGCCGAUUUGCUACCAUCAUCGGCUGACUUGUCCCUCUUCUUGUCUUGUUAUUUUCCAGGAAUAAGACACUCCUAACAACAGCCUUUUCUCGUUUGCGGUCGCAUUCUCCGAUGACGAGGAAGUCGCCUCUCGCCAGGUCACCUUGAGCUCUGUUCCUGAUGACGUCCGUGCCAAACUUGCAAGCAUCCAAUCCCUUCUUCAAGAGGACAUCAGCCGAUUGGUAGAAGACGCCUCGCCGAUUCGGCAACUUUUUGGUGACGUCAGCGGGCGAGUACCAGAAGAAGCAGAAGAGGCCUUGGCGUCGGCCGCAUAUAUCGAGUCAAUGAGGAUUCCGGUCUUUAGGGCCCUGCGCCACAUGGCCGAUUGUGCCAAGUUGACCAAGACUCGUGAAGAAGAAGACACAUACAAGCGUCAAGCUCAAGAGGUGCAUCAACAGAUUCACUUUCUGGAGGACUCUCGCCUGGGGAUCGUCGGCACGAUAGAUCGCCUCAAACGCCGAAGGGUGGAACUUGCCAAGGAGAUGGAGCAAGUGACCAAGGCGAUAGACACCGAAGAGAAGAGGCUCCGGGAACUUCCCUCUGUCAUCGCCGAUCUGAAACGGGAGAGGCAGCACCUGGCUCACGAAGCCCUCAAACUCCACCGCAAUACGUCAGAAGACCCCGGAUCGGCAGAAGAUGACCAACGCGUCCUGGACUCUGCCGAUCAGAUCCGGCGCCGAGCGAUCGCGGCUAUCGAUGCCCUUUUGAGUGGUCUGUAAAAGUACUGGCAAGUCUUGUACAAACAUUUAAUACCCCCCUUUGACCGUCCUUCGCGGCGCCCCCUUUUAUUUAUUACCUUUUUAACUUCCGAUGGGACGCGUCUUACCAAACAUCCACGCCUCCCUUUCUUAUAAAUGCCAGCCUAGGCCCCCGUUCCGAGAGUACCAAUCUAGCUCGGCUUCAUCUUCCCAUCCCGCUUUCGUCGGUGCGCCUUUCAGUCAUGUCUUCUUCAUCCUCUUCCUCUUCCUCUGUUAAUCAGGUGAAAGUUUUGCCUUCAUCCUUUUUUCUUAGUUUAGAUCUUCUGAAGGGAAUCACCUUUUUGAUCGUUACUUUCCACAGCCAUGGCGCCUUAGCCCUGAACCCGAAUGAGCCAUCGAACUCAUGCACUCUGACAAACCAUUGUCGCAAGAAGACAAGAACUUAAUCAGGGCUCAUCGGGAUGAACUCCGAGAGCACGUCCGUGCUGACAUCCGACGGAUCUGGGAUUUUCUGGAUGGCAACACCCGCCGGGCAAGGGACCGGAGCCACCCUCUCCCUCGUCAAGUCGAAGCGGAGGCUACGGUGAAAGAGGUAGAAGAAGAGUACAUCCGUCUUCUGAUAGAACUAGGUCGGGCUGAGAGAGAGCGUAAGAAAAAGCGUGAUUAAUUAUUUUUUUUGUUCUAAGGGCGACUUGUACCUUGUCGGCCGUGUAACCCACCGUCCGUACCGAAUGAAAUAUAUCGGCCGAUUUGGAUGAUUACGUGUUUUCUCUAGACGACUCCUUUUGUAUCGGCUGUGUGUUGUUUAUCGUGGUCGAUCCUUUAUGCUCCGACCCAUAUACUAGGGUAGUACCUUUUCAAGUAUCUUCCGUUCAGAGCCCUGGUAAACUCUUCUCCUUCGAUUGUUUCCAGAAUAUAAGCGUUUCCUGGAGCACAUCUGCCGAUUUUAUAUGGCCCUUCCCAUGUAGGGGACCACUUACCGAAUUUAGGAUCUUUUGACCCAAUCGGCAACACUAACUUCCAAACCAGGUCCCCUGGAGAGAAUUGUUUGACUUUGACCUUCUUAUCAUACCACCUGGCCACUUUCUUCUUGUUUUCCUCGAUGCUUAUCAAAGCUCUCAAUCGUUGGCCAGCCACGUCAUCAAGUUCCCUUUUCAUGAGCGAGGAGUAGUCAUCGGCCGUUAACUGGUCCUGGAGCGAAGCGCGUCUCGACCCCGCCCUUAUUUCCCACGGUAGUACUACAUCGUGACCGUACACCAACUGGUAAGGGGACAACUUGGUGGCCCCAUGGUAAGCCAUCCUGUAUGCCCAUAGGGCUUCAGUUAGAUAUAGAUGCCAUUUUUUCGGCUGCUCCUCUAUCUUCCUCUUGAUUAACUUUAUUAUCCCUUUGUUGGAGGACUCGGCCUGGCCGUUAGCUUGGGCAUAAUACGGAGAGGAAUUUAACAAUUUGAUUCCCAUAUCGGCCGUGAACUCCUCGAAUUCUCCUGACGUAAACAUCGUCCCUUGAUCGGUUGUGAUAGUCUGGGGAAUGCCGAAGCGGUAGACGAUAUGGUCUCUUAUGAAGUCAACCAUGGCAGCCGAUGUUACGGCCCUUAAUGGAAUUGCCUCCACCCAUUUGGUGAAAUAAUCAGUGGCCACCAGAAUGAACUUGUGCCCUUUGCUUGAUGGAGGAUAAAUUUGGCCGAUGAGGUCUAUUCCCCAUCCUCUGAACGACCAUGGUUUGAUAAUGGGAUUCAUGGCCGACGCGGGUGCACGUUGGACAUUCCCGAAUUUCUUAGAAUCCUGGCAUCCCUUAUAAUAUUCGAAGCAAUCAUCGAGGAUCGUUGGCCAGUAAUACCCAUUAUUCCUGAUCAUCCAUUUCAUCUUAUGUGCCGACUGGUGGGCUCCACACACUCCUUCAUGGAUUUCUCCCAUCAGAGUCUUAGCCUCCUCCGUUCCCAGACACUUGAGUAGGAUGCCGUCAAUUGUUCGGUAGAACAAGUCGUCUUCCAGUAGUACGUAUUUGGUAGCAUGGAAACGCACCCGCCGAUCCACUUUCUUAGAUGGAUCUUUCAGGUAAUCGGCAAUUUCUUUUCGCCAGUCAUCGGCCGCGAGCUCUAGAGCCAUAGCGCCUUGAAUCGGCCGAUACCCAGAUGCGUGUUGGGCGAGCUUGUUGGCAUCCUCGUUGUGAUUCCUUGGGAUGUGUUCGAUUACUGCCGAUUUGAACUCUUUCAAAAGCUGCAGGCAAUCUUCGUAAUAAAUCCUCAAUACAUCGUCCUUGCAUUCGGACUUCCCUGUUAAUUGAUCCACAAUAAGCAUGGAAUCUCCAAAAAUUUCGACAGAAUCGGCCUUGACUUCUCUUAGCAAUUGUAAUCCCUUCAGUACAGCUCGGUACUCUGCUUGAUUGUUAGUGGCGGUCGCUUCUAUCGACAGAGAAAUAUCAUAGCUUGCCCCCCGAGGCGAUAUGAGGAUGAUGCCGAUUCCUGAUCCGACCCCACAUGACAAUGUUGGAGGUAUGCCCUAGAGGCAAUCAUAGAGAUGAUGAUAUUCCAUUUGUAUCCAUGAUUUGUAUGUUGUGUUCAUUGAAUAUCCAUUGAAGUCUACUUGAAUUGAUUUGCAAUUAUGUGAAUUGUAUGUGAAACUCUUUACUUGUAUGGUUAUUCUAAAGUUGUCCCUAGUCGGAGUUCAUGUGAGAACACACAUGAAUAUUAGACUAGCACAUGUAUUAGUUGAUGACAAUGUUUCACAAGUCAUGGACAUGGAGAUGUUGAACUAAUAAUGUGGACACAUGUGGAGACAUGUGCUAGGACUGACCCAACACGAGAAGUAGUUCUCUCUUUAAACAACAUAUACGCUUUGUCCUUAGACCUGAGAUUGUCGCAUGUAUUGUAGAUGUGGAUCGACCUACUUAGGGGCUAUCAAAUGCUACGCCGUAACAGGGUAGUUAUAAAGGUAGCUUUCGGGUUUGUCAAGAAGCAUGCUAUGAGACAUGGUCAAUCAAGAUGGGAUUUGCCCCUCUCUGAUUGAGAGUGAUAUCUCUGGGCCCCUCGAGUGAUCGGAUCCGAAAAUGCAUGGCCAUGCUACGUACGGUUAAGAGUUAACCUACAAAGGGAUUCCGAAUCACAGGAUCGAGAAAGAGCGGUCGGCUUGAAGCUAGACCAAAUAUCGUGAGGCAAAGGGAAUAGCAUGUAUAUUAUGUUGUGAUGGUUCGUCUGAUAUGAUCUUCGUGUGCGUAUAGGAGUUGGCACGUCUUGCUAGAGGCCGCUACCGACUAUUGGGCCGAGUAGGAGUACUCGGGCCAUGUCUAUACGUAUCCGAACCCAUAGGGUCACACACUUAAGGGGCUAGAAGCCCAAUUCGGAUCAGAUCCGAGUUGGAUUAGGUUUAGAAGUACUAAUGGGCCUCGGAUCCAGAGGCCCGUCAGGAACCUCUAUAAAUAGAGGGGUGGGGGCGCCCUAGGGUUUACACCUUUUGGCGAAACACACCUGCCGCGCCUCCCACGCCCUCGCCUGUUGCAACUCGCGGAUCUAGCAGUCCGACUUGCGACGCUUCCUCCCUGCACGUGUGGAUACCUUGGAGGUGUUGCGCCUGCAGCACUUGGACGAGCCGUCGACGAGCCGCCGACGAGCCACGACGAGCCGACGACGAGCCGCGGCACCGGAGGCGAUCUUGCUGCACGUGGACGAGCUGCUGAGGAGCUGCUGGACGUGACGUGAUCGACUACGUACGACUACGUUGAUCGGCUACGUACGACUACGUGAUCGUCUUCACUGCAUCGACGCAUAUCUACAUCUUCCGCACCAGUAGUGCGUCGAGUGGUAAUCCCGUGAUCCUUAUACGGCAGUUCUUCCUGGUUAUAUGCGGUAGAAAUUUUGAUUUGCGCUAGCGUAGCCUACCUCGUAUCCCUACAGACAAUCCAUCAAAAUAUAAAGUCCAAGGUACCGGUUCCACGAAGGUAGCCUCUAGUCCGCAGUGUUGGGCGAUGAAGUCGGCCAUGACCUGACCCUUGAUGGCUUUUGCCGAUUCAUAUCGAAGGUCAAACUCUGACAAAGCCAAGAUCCAUUUGCCGAUUCGUCCUUUCAAAAUCGGCAGUGACAGCAUGUAUUUUACCACGUCGUCUUUGCACACGACCACACAUUCCGCCGAUAGCAAAUAGUGCCUGAGUUUGGUACAUGAGAAGUAAAGGCAUAGGCAUAACCGUUCCAAUGAAGGAUACCUUGUUUCGGCGUCCAGAAGUCUUCUACUGACAUAAUAAAUUACCCGUUCCUUUCCUUCGAACUCCUGGACCAGAGCCGACCCAAUAGCUCAUUCAUCGGCUGAUAAAUAUAGUUUAAAUGGCUUACCAGUUUGAGGAGGAACCAAAACUGGUGGUGAGACCAAGUACUGCUUGAUAUCUUCCAGUGCCUUACGUUGCUCUUCCCCCCAUAUGAACUCCUGGUCGGGCUUCAACUUUAAUAGUGGUGUGAAAGCUUGGAUUCGCCCAGACAGAUUAGAUAUGAAUCUUCUGAUGAAAUUCACCUUGCCGAUUAGAGAUUGCAUCUCAGUUUUAUUCUGCGGGGCCACGACUUUGUUGAUGGCCGUUAUGGUCUUCUAAUUGAUUUCUAUUCCUCGCUCGUGCACCAUGAAUCCUAAGAAUUGUCCGGCGGAUACGCCGAAGGCACACUUAUUCGGGUUCAUCUUCAGCCCAUGUUUCUUAGUGCACUGCAACACUUUUUGCAAAUCGGCCAGAUGCUCCUCGUGUCCUUUUGACUUGACUACGACGUCGUCGAUGUAGAUUUCUACCAGUAUGCCGAUGAGUUUGUGAAAUAUGUAGUUCAUGGCUCUCUGAUACGUAGCGCCGGUGUUUUUUAAUCCGAAAGUCAUUACCACCCACUCGAAUAAACCAAGGUGACCUGGGCAUCUGAAGGCCGUUUUGGGUAUGUCUUCUUCGGCCAUAAGUAUCUGAUUGUACCCAGCGUUUCCAUCCAUGAAACUAAUAACCUUGUGUCCCGCGGCGGCAUCUAUCAGCACAUCGGCCGUCGGCAUGGGGUAUCCGUCCAUUGGUGUGGCCUGAUUAAGGUUCCUGAAAUCGAUGCACACGCGUAGCUUUUCGUUCUUCUUGUAUACUGGUACAAUGUUGGAGAUCCACUCGGCAUAACGGCAUUGCCGAAUAAAUUUUGCUUCGAUUAGCCGCGUUAUUUCGGCUUUUAUAUCUGGUAGGAUUUUAGGAUUGCACCGCCGUGCAGGCUGUUGAUAUGGCUGAUAUCCUAGUCUUAUGGGUAGCUGAUGUUCAACAAUAGAUCGGUCUAAUCCGGGCAUCUCAUGAUACUCCCAAGCAAAGCAAUAAUUAAAUUCUCUUAACAAACUUGUCAGUUUACAUUUGUAUUCCGGGUCUAAAUUUGCACUAAUAUAUGUCGGCCUUGGUUUGGUGCCAUCGCCUAAGUCUAUCAUUUCUAAUGAAUCGGCUGACGUGAACCCGUGUCCCAGCUUCCCAUCUUCUCGGGCGAACUGAUCCAUUUAAUCUGAGUCUUCGGAGCCGACUGCUCGGAUCGACUGUAGGCCAAAAUCGGACACCUUCAAGAAGUCAGUAUCCCAUACUCUCCCGGAUAUGCACCUGACGGUUUCGCAGCUCCACUACUGCGUGUCGGCUGCCACGAUGCUGUAUGCAGAAUCGGCGGUGACCACUUCGAUGUUGUCGCCGACCCAUUGUACGAGGCAUUGAUGCAUUGUCGAUGGGAUGCAGCAAUUUGCAUGUAUCCAGUCUCGGCCGAGUAGCAUGUUGUAGGGCCCCUUGCCAUUAAUAAUAAAGAAAGUAGUAGGAAGGGUGUUACUGCCGAUGGUGAGGUUGACGCAGAGGGCGCCGCGAGCGGGGGAUACGUUGCCCUUGAAGUCCUUGAGCAUCAUAUCUGUCUUGGUCAGGUCAUCAUCACCCUUCCCAAGCUUCCGGAGCACGGCGUAUGGCAUGAUGUUGACUGCAGCUCCUCUGUCUACCAGUAAUCUGGUGAGGGGUCGGCCGUUGACAUGCCCUUUAAGAAACAACGCUUUCAAGUGUUGCCGUUUGUCGUCUUCGGGCUUCUUGAAUGUGGCUUUCAUUGGCUCCAAAGCCAAUUGCGCCAUUUGUUCUUCUAUUGCCGAUAUGUCCUGUCGGUCAGCAGGAGUCAUAAACUCCAUCGGCAGUAUGAAAACCAUGCCGAUGUCGGCUGCCGAUUCGUCGCCUGCCGAUUCGUCGCCUCCUUUGUCAUUUCUUUUGGGGCGCCAUACCUGAGACCUACCUUCCCUCUUGUCCGUCGUGUACUGUUGUUCUUCCUCCUGCUGUUCCCACUGGCGGAGCCGCUGGAUUCUUCGUUUUUGAGACUUGGUCAAUCCAUCGGGGCACCACCUGGGGUUCACUAGUUUGGUUCGUGGUCUAGCACGUUCCCACUCUUGUCCGUGUCCUAAAGGGUUCUCGUCCGACGUCCGAGCAUCGGCCAUUUCUUCAAGUCGCCUGUGGACGUUGACCCUGUUUUUUGGCUGAUCAUGUGGAUCGAAUCUGCCCCCCGGCCCAUCAUCGCGCCUAUCUUCCGACCAGUCAUAUCGGUCACUUCUGCCCCCCAGCCAAUCACGUACUGGAGGGCGCCGAUCGUCUUGGUCGCGCCAGUUCUUGCUGAUUGGCUCUGGUCUCCCAUCUCUGGAGCGAGACCUGCUGAACGGCCGAUUGUUACGAUACGGGCCGUUGCACUCUGGGCAAUUAUCGGCCGAAGGUAACCUGAGGUUGCUUUCCCAACAGUGGAUGAAGAACGGGCAUUUCCAGUGAUCUUCAUGUCGCCGCAUUGCUUCUUCCCGGGAUCUUGAGCGUUCAUGUUGCCGCUGAUAUUUGUUGAGCAGGAAUUGGGAAGUAAUGCGUGGUUCUCCUGAUCCGCCAUCGUCGUCCUCCAUCCGUCGCUUCCCCUUGACGUCUUUAGGCGCCGCUUGAUUUCUGGGGUCUACGGCGCCACUCUUUUUAGCCGAUUCGGAUGUCAGCACCUUGGUUUGGAGCGAGUUCUUUCCUGUGUCAACCAUGUUGGUGGGGAAGGGGUGCUAAUCGAUCUUCAUCAGCUUGGCUGGUUUUGUUGGCACUUCAAAUUUAAGUCUGCCCUGCUCAAUGGCCGUCUGUAUCUGCUGCCGGAAGAUUUUGCACUCAUUAGUGUCAUGGGAGGUAGCGUUGUGCCACUUGCAAUAUUUCAUCUUCUUUAGCUGUUCGGCAGAAGGGAUAGUAUGGUAUGGCGAGAGCUUAAUCUUUCCUUCCUGGAGUAGGAGGUCGAAGAUUUUAUCGGCCUUUGAUGUGUCAAAUCCGAACGUUUCUGGCUCCCUCUUGCCGAACGGACAUGAUAUCGGCUUCUUCCCUUUAACCCAUUCUGCAAGACCGACUUCUGCAUCUUCUUCGGCCUCAACCUCUUCUAAGUAUGCCACCUUCUUCUGGAAGUUCCUUCGUGGAUCAGAAAAACGUACCUCUUGACCAGACAAUCGGUGGACGAUUUGGCUCAAGCUCUCAAACUCCUGUGAGGCGUACUUUUCUUUGAUGUGAGGCAGGAGACCUUGAAAGGCUAUAUCAGCCAGCUGUGCAUCAGUCAGAGCUAGAGAAUAGCAUUUGUUCCUGAUUUCCCGAAACCUCUGCACAUAUGAGGAUAUCGGCUCGUCGCUUCUCUGCCUGAGGCCGGUCAAAUCGGACAGUUUCAUCUCAUGUACCCCGGCGUAGAAGUAUUUAUGAAACUGCCUCUCCAGAUCGGCCCAUGUAAUUAUCGAGUUGGGCGGUAAGGUUGUGAACCACUGGAAGGCCGAACCAGACAAGGACGACGAGAAAAGCCGCACCCGUAGAGCAUCUUGCGCCGUUGCCUCUCCGCAUUGGAUGAUGAAUCUGUUCACAUGUUCUACGGUUGAGGUGUCGUCCAUCCCCGAAAACUUGGUGAAGUCAGGAACUUUAUACCAAUAGGGAAACGGCAGUAAGUCGUACGUAGACGGGUACGGUGUCCUGUAGGUGUAAGUCUGCACCUUCGACUUCAAGCCGAAUUGUUCCUGAAUCAGCUCUGCUAUACGUGCCGACCAAUCCGGCUGUUGCUGGUAAACCGUCGGCUGAGGGACUGGUACGUGCUGGUAUAUCGGCGGCGGGAUGACUUGAUGCUGAGUGAAAGUAUGUGGCAUUUGAUGUGUUAUAGCCGGCUGUGUAUUCAGGGUCGGCUGUUUGAAUGAGCCACUCGUUUCAUCAUAUAGUACGAGCUCUGCUGCUUUGCUCAUCUCCGGUGCGACAGGCUGGUACGGCGGCAUAGUUGGUCGAGUGGCUACCUGGAAAGACGCCUGGAAUUGGGGACUUCCCUGAUUGGCCGAUUGAUCCUGAACGGCCGUCGCUGAUGGUGCCCCCCAAGGCGCUGGAUUAACCGGAGGAAACUGCGCAGAGGACAGCUGAACGGGAUGUGGCUAGAGGUGUUGUGUGCCAGUAAACCCCAUAGGGAUUGAUGAUGAGGAAGCACCUGAACCCCCAACUGGAAAUUGGAUCGGCUGAGAAGCCGAAUUCGGAUAACUUUUGUUUGGUGAAAUUGGCGGUGCAUAUGUCGGUCCCUUGUACCCUUGAGAUACUCCGCUAGCCAAGGAGCUGAUGACGGCAUUGUACACCGUAUUCGCAAGCACCGGGGAUUGAUCGAUGAAAGCUUGAUAAACGGAUUGCUGAACCAUUUCGGACAUCUUGUCCAAGUCCUCGGUGAUUGUGAUCUGGCGGGGAGUUGAAAACGGAGUCUUCUUGAUAGUUUCCCCACUUCUGGUGCGACUGAAGGACUGCAGGCAUGCCUUCCGGUAGUAUGCCGUCUGCCUCUCCAGCUCUUCCUUCUGGUCGUCCCUGAGAUCUGCCUCUGUCACUUCGAUGACGUUAUCUUCGGAGACUUCAGCAGCUUUCGACAUGGUGGCGGUUGUAUUUGUCCCACCGGGCGUGCCAAAAGUGUGUUGGCGCUAGAAAUCACUGAUCGAAUUCCCAGCGUCGGACACACGACCCGGGAGAAUCUGCUUAGCUCCUGUUCGGGUGAUCGCCCUGGUGCAGUUCGCGCGGCGUGCCAGCCAAUCUGACCUGUUGAUUGGCAAGGAAAUAAACGUAUCAGUUCCCAGGGGUUGCGAUCGGCUAAAGUUCCGAUCUCAAGAAAGCUUAUCAGCGAAUCGGCCGAUUUGCGGUAAUGAAGGAAAUCGGCUAUGAAGCAACCGAUUACCAGAUAACGUUUGUAAAGAAAACUACUAGAGCAAUCUAAACAACGCUAAGGUAGCAACACUAGGAACAGAUCCGAUCGGCUAUAUGGAAAAUGGUAAAUUAAGUAACAAGAUAUAAUAAAGCCGAAGGUUCUAAUUCCAAGCUGGAUAACUGGUGAUAAAACUAGAACAAUAGGUAAAACCUAGAAUUCUAGUGAAUAUCGAUAACUAGUGAAUAAAUCUAAACAAAACGACAGCGAUGCGCCCGAAGUUAAAGCUUAGAAAUUACUCGAUAAACGGAACUUACAAGAUCAGCCGGAGGUCAAGUUGAUGCAACCCCGCCAACCCGUACGAACUUGUGAAAAAGAAGAAAAAGUGUUGGCGAAGUCGCCUGCUUGAAAGUAAGUAUGAGGAAAAAGUAGUUUGUUGUAUUGAGUUGAUUGUCUUGUUACAGAUCCAUAAGGGUGGCUAUUUAUAGCCCCGUACAAACGACUUCUUAUCCGACUAGAAUUCUAUCUCUAAAUUUAAACAGAAAAACUUCUUAUCCGACUGGAACUCUAUCCCCAAAUCUAAACAGAAAACAAAUAUUUACAAGUAUGAUUCGUACUAUGUUUACGCGCUUCAUGGGCUGACCCCCUCUUCAUCUUCAUAAUCCUUUUUAAGCCCACAUCGGCCCAACUAUUCUUAGCCUCCUAAUCGGCCGAUCACCUCUUUAGCAAGGGGGUAACCGAUCAGGACCCACACAUCAAGGGCUCAGACUUAUCCCGACCCUGGGCACUAAGGUCGGACGAGGCGGAGAUCCUCCUUUGGAGGGGUCGGGCACGUCUGACCCCGAGCCUCAGGGGUCGGGCGAGGCGGAGAUCCUCCCUUGGAGGGUCGGGCGCGUCCGAUCCCAAGCCUCAGGGGUCGGGCGAGGCGGAACUCCAAGGAUCAAUCGGCCGAUCCUCGACUGUAGCAUCUAUUGGCCAAUCCUUG